rnacentral:lncRNA from 10 species
GGUGGCUGGAGGAAUUUUAAGUGCUGUGAUGAAAUGGGCACCCUUCUCUGCCCUCCAUCGCCAAGCCCUACACCUCUGCGAAGACUGUGACACAUAAAGUCCUGUGUCAACGAUCUGUGCCCGCAGAGAGAGCCUGCUCCAGCCUCUUUGCUACAGCCUUGAGUCUUCUGCUGGUCUCACUCUGUCACCCAGACUGGAGUGCAGUGGUGGCAUCAUAGCUCACAGCAGCC